rnacentral:rRNA from 1 species
GCUUAACACAUGCAAGUCGAGGGGCAGCAUGGUCUUAGCUUGCUAAGGCCGAUGGCGACCGGCGCACGGGUGAGUAACACGUAUCCAACCUGCCGUCUACUCUUGGACAGCCUUCUGAAAGGAAGAUUAAUACAAGAUGGCAUCAUGAGUCCACAUGUUCACAUGAUUAAAGGUAUUCCGGUAGACGAUGGGGAUGCGUUCCAUUAGAUAGUAGGCGGGGUAACGGCCCACCUAGUCUUCGAUGGAUAGGGGUUCUGAGAGGAAGGUCCCCCACAUUGGAACUGAGACACGGUCCAAACUCCUACGGGAGGCAGCAGUGAGGAAUAUUGGUCAAUGGGCGAGAGCCUGAACCAGCCAAGUAGCGUGAAGGAUGACUGCCCUAUGGGUUGUAAACUUCUUUUAUAAAGGAAUAAAGUCGGGUAUGCAUACCCGUUUGCAUGUACUUUAUGAAUAAGGAUCGGCUAACUCCGUGCCAGCAGCCGCGGUAAUACGGAGGAUCCGAGCGUUAUCCGGAUUUAUUGGGUUUAAAGGGAGCGUAGAUGGAUGUUUAAGUCAGUUGUGAAAGUUUGCGGCUCAACCGUAAAAUUGCAGUUGAUACUGGAUAUCUUGAGUGCAGUUGAGGCAGGCGGAAUUCGUGGUGUAGCGGUGAAAUGCUUAGAUAUCACGAAGAACUCCGAUUGCGAAGGCAGCCUGCUAAGCUGCAACUGACAUUGAGGCUCGAAAGUGUGGGUAUCAAACAGGAUUAGAUACCCUGGUAGUCCACACGGUAAACGAUGAAUACUCGCUGUUUGCGAUAUACUGCAAGCGGCCAAGCGAAAGCGUUAAGUAUUCCACCUGGGGAGUACGCCGGCAACGGUGAAACUCAAAGGAAUUGACGGGGGCCCGCACAAGCGGAGGAACAUGUGGUUUAAUUCGAUGAUACGCGAGGAACCUUACCCGGGCUUAAAUUGCAGAUGAAUUACGGUGAAAGCCGUAAGCCGCAAGGCAUCUGUGAAGGUGCUGCAUGGUUGUCGUCAGCUCGUGCCGUGAGGUGUCGGCUUAAGUGCCAUAACGAGCGCAACCCUUGUUGUCAGUUACUAACAGGUUCUGCUGAGGACUCUGACAAGACUGCCAUCGUAAGAUGUGAGGAAGGUGGGGAUGACGUCAAAUCAGCACGGCCCUUACGUCCGGGGCUACACACGUGUUACAAUGGGGGGUACAGAGGGCCGCUACCACGCGAGUGGAUGCCAAUCCCAAAAACCUCUCUCAGUUCGGACUGGAGUCUGCAACCCGACUCCACGAAGCUGGAUUCGCUAGUAAUCGCGCAUCAGCCACGGCGCGGUGAAUACGUUCCCGGGCCUUGUACACACCGCCCGUCAAGCCAUGGGAGCCGGGGGUACCUGAAGUGCGUAACCGCGAGGAGCGCCCUAGGGUAAAACUGGUGACUGGGGCUAA